UACAGAGGGUGCGAGCGUUAAUCGGAAUUACUGGGCGUAAAGCGUGCGUAGAUGGUUAUGUAAGUCGGAUGUGAAAGCCCAGGGCUCAACCUUGGAAUUGCAUUCGAGACUGCAUAGCUAGGAUGCGGAAGAGGGAAGCGGAAUUUCCGGUGUAGCGGUGAAAUGCGUAGAUAUCGUUUGGAACGCCAACGGUGAAAACAGACAGCUGGGAGUGUGCUGACGCUGAGACACGAAAGCCAGGGGAGCGAACGGG
rnacentral:rRNA from 1 species